AGCAGCCGCGGUAAUUCCAGCUCCAAUAGCGUAUAUUAAAGUUGUUGCAGUUAAAAAGCUCGUAGUUGAAUUUUGGAUUCUUCCAAUUGGUCCAUCUUUUAGAUGAGUACUGGUUGUGUGGGGUCUAUCCGCCUGGUGAUACGUAAUGUCCUUUAUUGGAUGUUGCGGGUAGUCAGGACCUUUACCUUGAAAAAAUUAGAGUGUUUAAAGCAGGCUUAUGCCGGAAUACAUUAGCAUGGAAUAAUAGAAUAGGACGAAGUUGUUUUAUUUUGUUGGUUUCUAGGACAACCGUAAUGAUUAAUAGGGAUAGUUGGGGGCAUUAGUAUUCAAUUGUCAGAGGUGAAAUUCUUGGAUUUAUUGAAGACUAACUACUGCGAAAGCAUCUGCCAAGGAUGUUUUCAUUAAUCAAGAACGAAAGUUAGGGGAUCGAAGACGAUCAGAUACCGUCGUAGUCUUAACCAUAAACUAUGCCGACUAGGGAUCGGGCGAUGUUGUUUCCAUGACUCGCUCGGCACCUUAU
rnacentral:rRNA from 1 species